CUUUAAUGAGCGCAAGGGAAUCCACUAAAUCUCAAAAGCUAAGUGAUAUGAACCGUUAGAUCACACAUUUUAGAUCUGAGCCGUCAGAUAUUGGAAUAUUCCAAAAGUAGAUUCCCAUCACGGAAACAAAUUCCGUGUGAUUCUUUGGUUACUCGACCAAAAUGCCCCUCCGUCUUUUAUAAUUUACAGAAAAAACACAGUUAUUUCUUUUCGCUAUUCUCUCUUCAGUUUCGCCAUCACCACCCCAUCGUUACCAUCGCCACCAGCAAUACCAUCACCCCCACCACUAUUAUCAUCACCACCCCCGCCAUUACCAGCAACAAUAUCAUCCCCGCCACUGCCAGCAACACCAUCACCAACAGAGCUUAAAUACGGGAAGCUAAUUAAUUAAUGGGAGAAUAAGCUGAAAAUUAAAGAUUUAUAAAAACAAAUUGGGAGAAUAAACUGUUUCCUCCACCGAUUCUUUGUUCAUUAAGAAUCGUUCCUUUUUUGCUCCAUGUCUUUGCAAUGCAGUUGAUGUUUUGGCAGUUCGUUUACAGAUUAUGAGUCCAAUUAAAGAAGAUAAGGGCUCCAUCUUUAUUUUUAUUACCUGACUGUAAGUGCUGCUUUAGCGUUAUAUCUCUCCUUAGUCAUAGCCCAUAGAAUCGGUACUCAAGACCAAAUUGUGAGCUCCUUAUCAGUAAUGAAAUUACAACGGUGAAAUAGGCAUGAAAGAUUGCGAUCAUAUCAAUUUAUCAUGGAAGUGCAACCCCGUAGAAGUAAGACAAUUGAACUCUUUGCGUGUUUGUUACCUGGCUAUGCAGUUCCGCCGUGUUUGUGGCGUUUGGGAAGGUGACCAGAUUUUAAAGGAGUCGCAAGAAGAAGUUCUUAGUUGCAGACCUUAUGAAUGAUCUUAGUAUACAGAUUUCUCCAUUUUUACGUUGAUUUGUGUUCUGGAGUUACGUUGUCUCUUUUUUUAUAAGAAAAACAGAUUGGAAACUGCAGAAGCUCUUAUCUGUCUUAUUUUUCCAUGUCGUAGGUGGCGUUAUUGAUUACCAGUCAUUUGGUAUUUACCUUUGUUGCGGGCAUGUGCAUAUACUGACCCAUAAUUUCCAGCCAUUAGUAAAUCAUGUUCUGUUUCUUACGUUUGUUGUUGAUAUCAUGCUAAGAAAAUGGUCUAACCGGGACGAAGGCGUAUUUGAAACUCAGCGGUGGACGUGCAACGCACCUGCACUCUACUUUUGAUUUUAACUCUUCUUAGAAACUCAAGUUGGCUAAAUUAUUGUCAUCAGUGUCCUGUUUAACAUAAUAUUAAAAGAAACCAUAAGACAAUUAAACAAAGGCAACCAAAUGCAAGAAAUAUCGUCCAUGAUGGAAGCAAACAAAUUUCUUGGAGA